CCUACGGGUGGCUGCAGUGGGGAAUAUUGCACAAUGGGGGAAACCCUGAUGCAGCAACGCCGCGUGAGCGAUGAAGGCCUUCGGGUCGUAAAGCUCUGUCCUAAGGGAAGAAUACUGACGGUACCUUAGGAGGAAGCCCCGGCUAACUACGUGCCAGCAGCCGCGGUAAUACGUCGGGGGCUAGCGUUAUCCGGAAUUACUGGGCGUAAAGGGUGCGUAGGCGGCCCUUCAAGUCAGAGGUGAAAGGCUGCGGGGCAGCCGUAGUAAGCCUUUGAAACGGGAGGGCUGGAGGGCAGGAGGGGAGAGUGGAAUUCCCAGGGUAGGGGUGAGAUUCGUAGAGAUUGGGGGGAUGAGCAGUCGCGGAGGCGGCUCUCUGGACUGUAACUGACGCUGGGGCACGAAAGCGUGGGGGGCGAACAGCAUUAGAUACCCUGGGAGUC
rnacentral:rRNA from 1 species